AACUGAUACUACCUGCGGGAACCUGCGGAAGGAUCAUUACUGAAGUGAUUUGGGGAUGUUGCUGGCCCUCUCUCAAGGGGGGGCACUGUGCACUCCUCGAAACAAUUCACAAUUUCCAUUACACCCCUUGUGCACACCUUGUAGGCACCCAAACCCACCUCCGGGUGGUGGGGUCCUAUGUAUUCCUUCAUCUCACACUCUGUUGAAUGGUGCCAUGGGACGCAUCUAAAGGAUUAUUUG
rnacentral:misc_RNA from 1 species